rnacentral:hammerhead_ribozyme from 1 species
AUCAAACUGACGAAUGCCGAACAGGACGAAACACACGUCCUAGAU